CCCCAAACUCCCAGGGCUCACCUGCCUGUGCCCUGGUCCCAGCCCCAAGUCCCUCAUGCUGAAGCUCAGGUCGGGAUUCCUUGUGUGGUGCAGCAUCCCAGCUGGACUCAACCUGACAGGCAGGUGGGAGAGCCCAGGGUUGACCUGGAGGGUUGGUGACCCGAAGCUGGUGUCAAAGCAUCCUCCCUGCUUGAGCAUGCAAACAGGAUUUUCUCUAUUUUUUUUUUAAAUUGAAUUUUAUUAAAUAACUCAUGGAUAUAGUUUGAAAAAUCAAAUAUCACUAAAAGAUUUAAAAUGUAGAAAACAACAUUCCUUUAGACUUUUCCUUCCCUGGCCCAGGGUCCCCCACUUCCACUAUUUUAAGUGAUUCCUUUGAAAAACUUACCUCUACAUUGGAAGGAGACAACCCUCACCCCGUGUUGAAUUUUGUGCAACUCUGGUAGGAACUUUUCAAGUGGAAGACAAGUGCUCAGCCCCUCAGGCCACUUCUGGUCCCUGUUUCCCUCCUCAUAUAUUUAUAUCUUGAUUUUUGAACAUUCAGUAUUUACACUAACAUGAUGUUCAUUGCCAUAUGAUUACUAUUAUGGUCUGGAUCUUAAAUGUCCCCCCAAAUCUCUUGUGUUGAAAGCUUGUCCCCAGCUGGUGGCACUAUUGGGAUGUCAUCACCAGGGGCGUGCCCUUGGAAGGCUAUGUCCAGUCCCUGGCUCAUCCUCUGCUCGCUCUCUCUCUCUCUCUCUCUCUCUCUCUCUCUCUCUCCCCCCUUCCCAGCCACCUUGAGCCGAGCAGUUUUGCUCCACCGCAGCCUCCCCGCCAUUCUGUUCUGCCUCUCCACAGCCCACAGGGUUGGGGCCGAGCGACUGUGGCCCGAAACCAGGAGCCAAAAGAAAUCCUUCCUCCUUGUGGUUGUUUCCCACAGAGAUGGGGAGCUGAAUGACACAAAUGCAGUGUCAUUCUUGCACCAAAUUUGUACACAGGGAGGGAAGUGUGGGGCCCUGGGGCAGCCCUGAAGGGAAGCAGCCGCCAGCCUUCCCCAGGCUCGGAGGCAGGAUGGAUGCUUCCCUGGGCUUCAGAAAUAGCAGGUCCCCGACACCCUGCCCUUGACUUCUCACCUCCAGAACUGUGGGACCACAGGUUUCUGUGACUCGCCUCCUACUUGGCGAAAACAAGGGAUGGCCACCCUAGGAAGACAGUGCAGUCCCACUGGUUCCCUUCUUCCCCCUCACUCUGCAUGGGUUGCUUACAGCCCAGGUGCAGCGUCUGGGGCAGGGGCGUCUUUCUGCCUGGGUUCCUGCAGGGAAUAUCCUUGUUACCCAGGGUUGCUCCUGCGUCGUCCCCACGUGGCCAAGCUGCUCUCUGCUCUGUGUUUUGUGAGCUGUUCAGUGCUCCUGGCUUUACACUGCAGGCUUUGGGCAGUGACUAUGCUUAGCCACUUUGAUUUCUGGAGCUGAGCACUGGACAGUAACCAUGAUGGGACAGGGGCACCAGGGCCAGCGGAGGAGGACCGUGACGUUCACUCAGGCUCCUUGGGUAUGGAAACUGGUGGUUUGGGGUUGGUGACGUCUAACCUGCUUCUUAGGCCCACAUCCUAGUCCUCUGUGGCUUUAGACCUGCCCCAGUGUCUGCUGCACCUGGGCAUGAGUCACACCUGUCUGGAGAUCGCAGUUAUUGAAGGGGCCAGAAGCCCUGGGGCAAGCCCCUGGGCAGGUGUGGACUGGUCCCUCCUCUGCAGGAGCAAGAGGGGUAAAUCCCAUGAUCCCUGUACCCCUCCUGCUCCAACCUCAGGUGAAGAGGAAACUGGAUAAAAACAGCAGCAGUGUUUAUGGAGGUUCUGUGGCAACACACAGGUGUCUGGUGCGUAACCGUGUAGUACUAGGGGCUGGCGGCAGAGGCGGCUGCUCCGCUGUGUGUAAAUGUUGCUCCUUUCAGGCAGCUACAAUGCUUUCAAAUGAGGAAUGUGGAUAUGCUUUUAUCUCACUCUUCAUUAGAUGAUAACUGCUAGAGCCAACAUUAACUGAGCAACUACUCUUUGCUGAAUAGUGUGCUUCUGGGUGUAUUGCCUUCCCUCCAGUCAAUGCUUAACAGAAUUCAUUCAUCAUUCUGCACAUAUUCCAGACACAUGUUUUUCAGCACAAAAGUACAAGAGUAAACACAUCACAUUAAAUCUCUGAUCUCCCUGCACUUGCUGUAACUGUUAUGCCAUUUUACAGGUGAGUAAACUGAGCCUUGCAAGGUCCAAUGACGUGCCAAGACCAUGCAACCCUUGAACGACAGGAAACAGGAGCUAAGAUAGUCCAGGUGCCUGGAGUAUAGGCAUGUCAUUGCUAAGCAAGAGCUUUGAGCCCUUGAUUUCCUUACUCCACAGAGGAACUGUCGGAACGUUGCCUUGGGAGUUAGACAUCAGUAGCUAAGAUCCUUGAUCAAUCUACGGGUGCCUUUGCCACACAGGAAGUGCAGCCACUGCUGGGUGGAUCUGGGAGAGGAAGGAUUUGAGCCCCCACCUGAACGCGCAGCCAGCGUUCACAUUCCUCUGCCCUUGUGUGCCACGGCGCCCUCCCUGGUCCUCAAUCCUGGUAAGCGAUGGCCUGAUGAAUGUGGCCUGAAGUGAUUCAAGCAACAUACUGUAAUUUUUGGCGGUGCUCUCUGCAGAUUUAUUUCCUGGUCAGUCAGGUGGGACAGAAGGCAGAUUACGACUUAGCGCAUGCAUUGGAAUCCAUGGUCGAGUACUGGAGAGAGAACAGG
rnacentral:lncRNA from 1 species